AUGAGUCAAAAUAACCACGCUGCGCUUUGGUCCGCCUCUCCGUCAAUGGAAGAAAUCCCUGACAGCUAUGUACAGGUACUCCAGCCACACUCCCCCUCUCUCCAGUGCUUUCACUCACCUCCAGCACACAUGCACACACACACACACUACAGACUUUGGACAGAUCUGAAUGUUUUGUAGGCUAAUUAACUUUUACGUUCAUUCUGUGAGCUUUACUCAGAAUUAACUAGCAUAGGCCUACCAUUUAUUCUUGUGCUUUAUAUGCUAUUUGCUCCAUGACUCCUGCGCGCUUUGUUGACUAUGAACUUGCUUGUUUACCCGACCAUGGGACAGAUGAUGUUUGUUCCCACACUCUAGAUUCUGACUGUUGCUUACACAGAAUCUUGGCUCCCAUCCUAUUAUAAUCUAACCACCUCUCGCCAUCUUUUGUAUUCAUGUUACCUGAUGACAUUUCUGUACAAUAUGAUCUUGUUGACUGAUGCACAUUCAAAUGUAAUAAAAGAUCAACACUGCAGAGCUCUCCCUCUCCUCUGAUUGUAUUACUACUGAUGAUAUCUGGAAAUGUGCAUGUACACCCUGAACCCAAGAGUGGACUCAGUAGAGGAAGCCGGGAUGAAUGCACAAAAAGGUUUAUUGAUCACAGAGAAAUGGGGAGUGCAGAACCGGGGUAGCUCAGAUGAGUUGCAAAAACCAGAAGUGUAGACUGAGGUUGGAGUUGGCUGAGUAGAGCAGAGGAACAGGUCCUGAGGGGAAUCCAAGGUAAAGGUGGUGAGUGAUAUCCAGAGCAAGGUGGUUGGUGGUGAGGUGUGGAACAGGAGACAGGAGCCUGAGAGGUAAUGAGCAGAGAUUACAAUCUGGCAGUGUGGAGGUGGCAGGGAGGAGUAUAUGUAGAGAUCUUGAUUUAUGGGACGAUUUGCUGCUGGUAGUGACCUGCGCUGACUCCAGCACACCUAUAUUCAACCACACACACACACAGAGAGAGAGAAGAGAGAGAGNNNNNNNNNNGUUCUUUCCACAGAUUCUCGAUUGGAUUCAGGUCUGGACUUUGACUUGGCCAUUCUAACACCUGGAUAUGUUUAUUUUUGAACCAUUCCAUUGUAGAUUUUGAUUUAUGUUUUGGAUCAUUGUCUUGUUGGAAGACAAAUCUCUGUCCCAGUCUCAGGUCUUUUGCAGACUCCAUCAGGUUUUCUUCCAGAAUGGUCCUGUAUUUGGCUCCAUCCAUCUUCCCAUCAAUUUUAACCAUCUUCCCUGUCCCUGCUGAAGAAAAGCAGGCCCAAACCAUGAUGCUGCCACCACCAUGUUUGACAGUGGGGAUGGUGUGUUCAGGGUGAUGAGCUGUGUUGCUUUUACGCCAAACAUAACGUUUUGCAUUGUUGCCAAAAAGUUCAAUUUUGGUUUCAUCUGACCAGAGCACCUUCUUCCACAUGUUUGGUGUGUCUCCCAGGUGGCUUGUGGCAAACAAUACUUUUUAUGGAUAUCUUUAAGAAAUGGCUUUCUUCUUGACACUCUUCCAUAAAGGCCAGAUUUGUGCAAUAUACGACUGAUUGUUGUCCUAUGGACAGAGUCUCCCACCUCAGCUGUAGAUCUCUGCAGUUCAUCCAGAGUGAUCAUGGGCCUCUUGGCUGCAUCUCUGAUCAGUCUUCUCCUUGUAUGAGCUGAAAGUUUAGGGGGACGGCCAGGUCUUGGUAGAUUUGCAGUGGUCUGAUACUCCUUCCAUUUCAAUAUUAUCGCUUGCACAGUGCUCCUUGGGAUGUUUAAAGCUUGGGAAAUCUUUUUGUAUCCAAAUCCGGCUUUAAACUUCUUCACAACAGUAUCUCGGACCUGCCUGGUGUGUUCCUUGUUCUUCAUGAUGCUCUCUGCGCUUUUAACGGACCUCUGAGACUAUCACAGUGCAGGUGCAUUUAUACGGAGACUUNNNNNNNNNNAACAUAGCUCAGGCA
rnacentral:lncRNA from 13 species